rnacentral:lncRNA from 1 species
UCUUCAUCGACAUAAGAACAUAAAAAAUAUUGAAAAUGAUAUAAUACAUCGAUGUUUAAUAAGAUAGCAUUACAACCGUACUUUAGUGUAAAACAAUGGUACUUCAGCGUCAAACAAUCGUCAUCAAGCGUACAAAAAUCUUACUUAGGGUCAAACAAUAGUCCAUCAUCGUCAAACUAUUGUACUUCAGUAUGAUCAUAGCGGGUAGAACGACCAUAGCGGUCCAGAAUUAUAUUCAUUUAUAAAUAACAGUUGGUAUUUCUAUAUAUACUUGUUGUGUAUCUUGAUAAAGCAAAUUGAUAUGAUCUAUAAAAAGUAU